rnacentral:rRNA from 1 species
AACGAACGCUGGCGGCAGGCCUAACACAUGCAAGUCGAACGCCCCGCAAGGGGAGUGGCAGACGGGUGAGUAACGCGUGGGAACCUUCCCUGUGGUGCGGAAUAACUCGCCGAAAGGCGAGCUAAUACCGCAUAAGCCCGAAAGGGGAAAGAUUUAUCGCCAUAGGAUGGGCCCGCGUAGGAUUAGCUAGUUGGUGAGGUAAUGGCUCACCAAGGCUGCGAUCCUUAGCUGGUUUGAGAGAAUGACCAGCCACACUGGGACUGAGACACGGCCCAGACUCCUACGGGAGGCAGCAGUGGGGAAUCUUGGACAAUGGGCGCAAGCCUGAUCCAGCCAUGCCGCGUGAGUGACGAAGGCCUUCGGGUUGUAAAG